GUGACACAAAUGCUGAAGUAGAGUGAACCUCUGCUAGAUUCAGUGUGGCUCACUCUAACAUCGUGAAGGACUGUGCACAGCAGGAGUGCUGUUGAACGUACAUGCAUCUGUUCAGCCUCUGUCUGUAGAACUAGGCAGCAGUGCCAUAUCUUUACUGUAUAUGAAGCACGCUAUGUGAGAGACAGCAUAAAUAAUGCCAUUUAACUCUCAUGCUGUCACUGCUCACUGUACCAAAC